rnacentral:rRNA from 1 species
UCCGGGGGGUGCAAGCGUUGUUCGGAAUUACUGGGCGUAAAGGGCGCGUAGGCGGUUUGCUAAGUUGAAUGUGAAAACUCUGGGCUUAACCCAGAGCCUGCAUUCAAUACUGGCAGGCUAGAGUUCUGGAGGGGAUAGCGGAAUUCCUGGUGUAGCGGUGAAAUGCGUAGAUAUCAGGAGGAACACCGGUGGCGAAGGCGGCUAUCUGGACAGAGUCUGACGCUGAGGCGCGAAAGCUAGGGGAGCAAACAGG